AAGCUCGUAGUUGAAUUUCGGGAUCAAAUUGUCGGUCGUGCCUCGGUACGUACUGGCGUUAUUGGUUCCUCCCUUCUGAAGAACCNCGAUGUCAUUAAUUUGGUGUCGCGGGGAAUCAGGACUGUUACUUUGAAAAAAUUAGAGUGUUUAAAGCAGGCUCGCGCUUGAAUACAUUAGCAUGGAAUAAUGAAAUAGGACGUUUGAUUCUAUUUUGUUGGUUUCUAGGAUCGACGUAAUGAUUAAUAGGGAUAGUUGGGGGCAUUAGUAUUCAAUUGUCAGAGGUGAAAUUCUUGGAUUUAUUGAAGACUAACUACUGCGAAAGCAUUUGCCAAGGAUGUUUUCAUUAAUCAAGAACGAAAGUUAGGGGAUCGAAGACGAUCAGAUACCGUCGUAGUCUUAACCAUAAACUAUGCCGACUAGGGAUCGGAUGAUGUUAAUUUUUUAAUGACUCAUUCGGCGCCUUACGGGAAACCAAAGUGUUUGGGUUCCGGGGGGAGUAUGGUCGCAAGGCUGAAACUUAAAGGAAUUGACGGAAGGGCACCACCAGGGGUGGAGCCUGCGGCUUAAUUUGACUCAACACGGGGAAACUCACCAGGUCCAGACAUAGUAAGGAUUGACAGAUUGAGAGCUCUUUCUUGAUUCUAUGGGUG
rnacentral:rRNA from 1 species